UGUGAGAGUGAUGAGUUGCACAUUAGUGUGGCCAUAGCAUCAGGUGAUGCAGGCUAUACUCAGUAAUAAACUGGUGACAAAGCCAUGUGCACAGGGGCCAUCUGACUCGCA
rnacentral:snoRNA from 15 species